AAGAAACAGAAUCCAGACCAUCACAGUUAAUUACAAUGCUGUCCUGCCUCAUAACAACAGGAACCAGACAGGAGCUGUAAAUGCAUGAACUGGCCACGUGGGACACAUGUCCUGUCUAAAAUGAGCUCUGGUACAGGUGCAGGAGGUGCCUAGGAGAUGAAGGAACCUAGACAAGCACUGACUUUCUCCUCUGCCAGCAGAAGAAGGUUUAUCUUUGAUUUCAUAUUUCCAAAUAAGUUUCACAACUCUCCCUGAAAGUGCUAUAAUGAGUAAGAUUAAUAUUCAAACAUCAAAUUCACCUUCAUCUAUCCUGUGGAGUGUUCUACCACCUCAUCACCAUGAGAGCAAGAACAAUAUUAUUCACAUGUUCUGCUUACCACUUAGCACAUGGAGGGUGUUUAAUUAGUGUUCAAAGAGUAAUCAUAAUAUGCAGAAGGUGAAAGGAAAAGCUAUGUGUUUUUUAACAAAAGAGUGUGACAGUAAUUUUCCCUUUGAAAGUACAUCCAACUUCGGUGUGAUUUCUUAUUUGUGUAACCGUGGUCCUUUCCAUGCCAUCUCAGCAACAUGAAAGGAAAAAUGUUGAUGUCGUACUCUGAAAGGCAUUUGGCUCCCAGUGCUCUCUAUUGUGGUCAUGUGCCCAUCAGCAAACCACCUAGCGCCCCAGAGAUGCCAGGCACUGAGCCUCAGACUCCAACUUCCCUUCGACCCUGGAAGUAGCUUUCAGUGCCCCUCAGCUUUCUUCCUCAAAAGUGCCAGGGGGUUCAGCCGUUCUGUUCUCGCUGGCUGACACGGCACAUUCCCUCUGCUGCUGGGAAGCAGUGGUGAUUCACUGUGCGUUUCACAACUUCCCCAGGAUGAGGAUGGAUGCUGGCUGGCCACCGUGGGCUGCCACCCUGCUGUUUUCCUGCAUGCUCUGCCUCCGGGCUCCAGGGCUGACGUCUGCAGCUGGUGUCACCGAGCUCUUCAUAUGUACCAUGUAUGCACCUGCUAAACAUGGACACUUGGCCCCAUUCAGUCCUUCCAAAAACUUGAGGAAGAAGGCCCUGUUUUUAUCCUCGUUUUAUAGAUGAGAAGGCUAAAUGGCAAAACAGGAUUCACAUAUAGACUAGUGGGUCCAGGCACCAGCAUUGUCAUCACUAUGUUAAAUUGCCAGGAGUUACCCUGAGUGAGAUGCUUUCAGCCAAUAAUCAUGGUAACUAGGAACAACAAUAAAAGAUGAUAAUAACCAUGUCUGUGAAUGUGGGAGACUCCUCAUCGUCCUUGAAUAGUGAAGCUAAGAAAAAAAGAAAACCCUUAAUUUUUAGCCAGGCAAAUGUCUGCCUAUAAGAGAGUGCAUUUCCCAGCCCUUCUUACAAUUCCAUACGACCAUAUGACUAAGUUCUGGCCAAUGGAAUAAAACAGAAGUGGAAUAAUUUUAGGAAAUUUAUAAAAAUGCAUUUGAUUUUUUGACAGCAUUCCCGCCAUAAGAAUUAUAUAACAUCUAUUUUUACUACAUAUAUAUUUACGUACAAGGGGUCUUCCAAAAGUUUAUUGAAAAUGCAUGUUAUGAAAAAACUGUGCACUGAUUUCAAAAUUUUGCACCAAAAUAAACUUAUAUUUAGUUUUAUGUUCCCCAAUUUUUCUUUUAGAAGUACCCUUGUAUACUUGCAUGAAAUGAAGCCCUAUACAUAGCUUUCGUAUCUAGACCUUUGAAAAUAAUAUGACAAAAUGUUUACUUUUUGAAAGUCAGAAAAAUCCAAGAUAAGGUCAAACUCUUUGAAGGUUGGGUAUGUAAGCAAUGAGUUUGAGUUGGACACUCUUCCACUUUCCACAUGACCUUGGAUGGUCAGAGAACUUUUCAUUACUCCCUGUUACCUAAGGAGUGGUCUCCUUCCUCAAAAUGUCUAUGAGCAGUCUCCAAAAAGUUUAAGGAAAAUGAAUAUUAUGACUAAACUAUGCAUGGAUAGUAAAAAGUUUUGCACCAAAAUAAGCUUAUCUUUUAAGUCCAAUUCCACAAACUUUUUGAAGUAUCUCCAUCUAUUUCUGAAACACAAGUUCAAUGUAGAAAUAGCUUUAGAGUGUUGUGUACUUUGAUAUCUUCUAUUUCACUUUUAGAAGCUAUCCAUUAUAUUGAUUUUAUGACUCACUAGUGAGGCAUAAACCACAGUUCAAAAAGCAUUGCUUUACCAGGCAGUGUCUGUGUGAUUUUCUCUUUUCCCUUUUGUUCAGCUUUCCUGCCUCCUGAAUGAAGCACAGAUGUCCCACUUGGGACUGUAAGUUCAAGGCCACACAUACAGCAGUAUCAAGAGGAAGAACACCUGGAUCUCUGAUGGGAUAAAGUGUUGAAACGCCCUAAAUCCCCUACCAGGGCUUUUCUGUGACAGAGACCUGCACUUCCAUCUUAUUUCAGCCACUGUCAUUUUGAACCUUCUGUCCCUUGUGGCCAAAACUAAUCCUAACUGGCUGAGCUAAUGAAUUGUGUGUUUGCUUUG